rnacentral:rRNA from 1 species
GACGAACGCUGGCGGCGUGCUUAACACAUGCAAGUCGAACGGAAAGGCCCUGCUUUUGUGGGGUGCUUGAGAGGCGAACGGGUGAGUAACACGUGAGUAACCUGCACUUGUCUUUGGGAUAACUUCAGGAAAAUGGGGCUAAUACCGGAUAGGAGAUCCUGAUGCAUGGUGGGGGUUGGAAAGUUUCGGCGGUUGGGGAUGGACUAGAGGCUUAUCAGCUUGCUGGUGGGGUAGGGGCAUACCAGGGCUUUGACGGGUAGGCGGCCUGAGAGGUGGACCGGCCACAUUGGGACUGAGGUACGGCGCAGACGCCAACGUGAGGCAGCAGUGGGGAAUAUUGCACAAUGGGCGGAAGCCUGAUGCAGCAACGCCGCGUGCGUGAUAACGGCCUACGGGUUGUAAACCGCUUUCGCCUGUGACGAAGCGUGAGUGACGGUAAUGGGUAAAGAAGCACCGGCUAACUACGUG